GGUUGGCUCAGAAGCAGCCAUCCUUUAAAGAGUGCGUAACAGCUCACUAGUCGAGUGACCCUGCGCCGAAAAUGUACCGGGGCUAAGCCUGAUACCGAAACUGCGGAUUGUAGGAAACUAUAGUGGUAGGGGAGCGUUGUAUACGAGCAGAAGCCGUACCGUGAGGAGCGGUGGAUUGUAUAGAAGUGAGAAUGCCGGUGUGAGUAGCGAGAUGUAGGUGAGAAUCCUACACACCGAAAGCCCAAGGAUUCCAGGGGAAGGUUCGUCCGCCCUGGGUAAGUCGGGACCUAACGCGAGGCCGAAAGGCGUAGUGGAUGGAAAGCAGGCGAAAGAUUCCUGCACCCGUAUAUGGAGCGAAGGAGUGACGGAGACGGAUAGUGUGACCCUCUUAAUGGAUUGAGGGCGAAGCGAAGCGGCUGGUUACCAGGCAAAUCCGGUAACCAAAAGGCUAGAGCGUGACAGGUAAGCGAAAUCUUAGGAAAGUAGCGAAGCACAUGAUGACGGCUUCCAGGAAAAGCUUCUGGCAAUGCAUAUGCGGCCCGUACCAAAACCGACACAGGUGGGCAGGGAGAGAAUCCCGAGGUGAGCGAGAGAACUGUUGCCAAGGAACUCGGCAAAAUGACUCCGUAAGUUAGCGAGAAGGAGUGCUUAAGCAAUUAAGCCGCAGUGAAGAGGCCCAAGCGACUGUUUAACUAAAACACAGCUCUCUGCGAAGUCGCAAGACGAAGUAUAGGGGGUGACACCUGCCCGGUGCUGGAAGGUUAAGAGGAUCUGUUAAGAGCGAUCUGAAGCAGUGAUCCGAAGCCCCAGUGAACGGCGGCCGUAACUAUAACGGUCCUAAGGUAGCGAAAUUCCUUGUCAGGUAAGUUCUGACCCGCACGAAAGGUGUAACGAUUUGGGCGCUGUCUCGGCAGCAGACUCGGUGAAAUCUUAGUACCUGUGAAAAUGCAGGUUACCCGCAACUAGACGGAAAGACCCCAUGGAGCUUUACUGCAGCCUGAUAUUGAAUUCUGGUCAUACAUGUACAGGAUAGGUGGGAGACAAAGAGACGUGCACGCCAGUGUACGAGGAGUCGACGUUGGGAUACCACUCUUGUGUGACCGGGGUUCUAACCUGGUAUCGAGAACAGGUACGGGGAGAGUGUCAGGUGGGCAGUUUGACUGGGGCGGUCGCCUCCCAAAGAGUAACGGAGGCGCCCAAAGGUACGCUCAGAUUGGAUGGAAACCAAUCGUCGAGUGCAAUUGCAGAAGCGUGCUUGACUGUGAGACAAACAAGUCGAACAGGGACGAAAGUCGGGAAUAGUGAUCCGGCGGUGCCGAAUGGAAGGGCCGUCGCUCAACGGAUAAAAGCUACCCUGGGGAUAACAGGCUGAUCUCCCCCAAGAGUCCACAUCGACGGGGAGGUUUGGCACCUCGAUGUCGGCUCAUCGCAUCCUGGGGCUGAAGUAGGUCCCAAGGGUUGGGCUGUUCGCCCAUUAAAGCGGUACGCGAGCUGGGUUCAGAACGUCGUGAGACAGUUCGGUCCCUAUCUGUUGUGGGCGAAGGAGAUCUGCGGAGAGCUGUCCUCAGUACGAGAGGACCGGGAUGGACCUACCGCUGGUGCACCGGUUGUUCCGCCAGGGGCAUAGCCGGGUAGCUAAGUAGGGAAAGGAUAAGCGCUGAAAGCAUCUAAGCACGAAGCCUACUCCAAGAUGAGAUCUCCCAUUCG
rnacentral:rRNA from 1 species